AUGACGUCGACCCUGGUCGCCGCCACCUCCCGCCCUCUCCACCUUCCCGUCUCCCUCCCCUCGCCGCCUCCCGUGGCGCGCCCUGGCGGCGGCCGCCGCCGCCGCGCGGUCCUGCGCUGCGCCUCGGUGUCCGAGAUCGCGCCCGCGGUGUCCGCAGCCUACGGCGCACUCCUCGUGGGCGGCGGCGCAUUCGCAUAUGCGCGGUCGGGGAGUAAAGGCUCCAUCCUUGGAGGGGCCUCCGGAUCUGCGCUCAUGGGCCUCACAUAUUAUCUGAUGCAGUUUUCUGAGACGAAGGCACUAGGUGAUGCUGUUGGAUUUGGGUCCGCCUUUCUGUUUGCCUCUGUGUUUGGUAUCAGGUUGUACAAUACCCGGAAACUGGUGCCAUCCGGCCUUCUUUUAGCACUCUCUCUAGGUGCCCUGGGAGUCUUUUACGCUGCUUACUUGCAAGACAAGGUGUGA
rnacentral:rRNA from 1 species